rnacentral:lncRNA from 1 species
AUUCAUUGCAGCAGCCCUCAGACGGAUAGAGAAACCUCCAUCUGGGACACUCAGUUUCUUGGCAGGGUGAGAAGAUGGUGGCUCUUAGAGCUGUUAAAAGUAUUACUUGUAUAUAACGCAAAAAUACGUGGAGUGGCUGACCUGGAGCGCAGAGGAUUGGGAAGGCUUGGAGUAGGGUGUGAGGCUUUGCAAUUCUGAUAAGCUCCCAGGUGAUGUGGUUCCACUGGUGAUGCUUUGAGUAGCAUAGGGAUAUUUCUCAUCUCAUUCCAUGAUUGGAGUGACUUGAGCAUGUGACGGUGCCAUUAUCUCAAUAUCCCUUUCAGUUACUUACCUUAGGUCCGUAGAGGAAAGGGACUAAACAGGUAUGCAAUAGAUUUCCAGGCUAGGCUAUCCCAGGGCUGCUGGCUGCUUGUAGCAGGUACCAGCUCAAGUUAAUCCUGUUCUGCCUGUACUCAAUCUCUGCACCCCCUUCCCCCAGCAACCUCUAAAAACGUUUCCUUUGGUCUAUAAGGAUCUGAUGUGUGUUGGUGGCUGUAGAUAGGUAAGAAAGGUUUUUCUUGUAAUAUUUGUAGUAUCAAGAUAGGCAGAGUUAUGCUACAGUUACAAAUAUCUAGAAAUUGUAGUUGCUGCAAAGGUUGGUCAUGUUUGUGUUUUGUCUGUGGUUAGGCUUUACUUGACUCCAAGAGUAGCCUCUAAUCGGAACAUUUCGAGUCUCAGGACAGGGAAAAGAGAAGGCAAACAACAAACCAGCUCUUCAAACUUAAUGCUGGGAAGUAAUGUAUAUCAUGAACAUUUCCCAGCCAGAGCAAGUCACGUACAUGGUCAAGUGCGAUGGCCACGAGGAUGGGGGAAGUUUAAUCCUCCCCAGAGCAGGAUAGCAGAUAUAUUUUUGAAUAAUAAUAUAGUCUACCAUGUCCUUACAAUUUUUCUUUAAUUGCCCACAAUUCCUGUGGCUGUUAUAUGUUGAGCACUGUACAACUCAUAUCACUAUUACAACAAGUUCCCCAAAAGAGUCACAUUUCAAAGGUAAACUUUCUUUUAUAGGGGAGAUCGCUUGUCAGGUCCCACGGCCCCUGAAGUGGUAGGAGGAGAUUCAAACCCAGGUCUACUCUUGACCUCCAUAUCUACUGGAAAGAAUUUUCAGGCCCUGGCAGGCUGGAGGGGGCAGAUGCUUCUGGUCUGGUUGGUUUUUUUGGCUGUUCUAUUUGCUGACUGUUAUCCACUGCUUUUAAAACCAUCCCUGAGCCAAAAUAACUUUCCGCUGGAUCUAAACCAGGGCUACACUAAUGAAGAGAUAGCCAUCGAUUUUGUGCUGAGGAUUCUUAAGAUUAAUAUCCUUUCUUUGUUGAAAUAAUCGAAGUAGAGUACACUUGUGUCAUCCCCAUAAUAGCCCUGUGGUGUACAGGGCAGAAAGCUCCAUUCUCAAGUUUGGAAACAAGCUUAAAAAUGAGUUGAAGGUCACUAAAGGUUGGGUUUGAUUUCUAAUCAUUUUUUUUUCUUGAUUACAUAACAUUGAAUCAUGCUUUAGUAGCUCCUCCACCCCCACCCCCACCCCUACCCCUACACACCUUUAAGAUACAUACGUCAUUUUGUGGGGAGAGAACUCUUAAAGGAACUAUAACAGUGUUUAAGCCUUUCCAAAACAAUAGUUAGAAAAGUCUUCUAUUCACAUAAAUUUUCAUCACUCCAAUCAGCACAGUGUUGAAUGCCAUCUUUGCAGUGAAUUCUGGGAAUGCAGGCACAGUCAGCAAAGAAAACAGUAUCCCAUCUCCAGCCUGAACACUUGGGGCACUGUAAAACUGGACAAUUUUAUUUAUCUUUAAAGCCAUAACUAUUGAAAUGUUAAGAUGGACAGGAAAAAAAUGCUAUUGGGGAAUGCCAUUUGGAUAUUUUUAAAUAUUAGGGAGAACUGUCCAAGGGGAAUAUUGCAGAUAUCUAUUAAAGAUUCUGGAGUUCCCGUCGUGGCGCAGCAGAAACGAAUCCCACUGGGAACCAUGAGGUUGCAGGUUCAAUCCUUGGCUUCGGUCAAGUGGGUUAAGGAUCUGGCAUUGCUGUGAGCCAUGGUGUAGGUUGCAGAUGCAGCUCGGAUCCUGCGUUACUGUGGCUGUGGUGUAGGCUGACAGCUACAGCUCCAAUUCGACUGCUAGCCUGGGAACCUCCCCCCCCUGGUGGUGCGUCCCUAAAAGACAAAAUGACAAAAAGACCAAAAAAAAAAAAAAAAAAA